rnacentral:rRNA from 1 species
AACGAACGCUGGCGGCGCGCCUAAUACAUGCAAGUCGAGCGAGAAGACGUAGCAAUACGUUUGUAAAGCGGCGAACGGGUGAGGAAUACAUGGGUAACCUACCCUCGAGUGGGGAAUAACUAGCCGAAAGGUUAGCUAAUACCGCGUACGCUCCUUGGACUUCGGUUCAGGGAGGAAAGCGAUACCGUGGGUAUCGCGCUCUUGGAUGGGGCUCAUGUCCUAUCAGCUUGUUGGUGAGGAACGGCUCACCAAGGCUUCGACGGGUAGCUGGUCUGAGAGGACGAUCAGCCACACUGGCACUGCGACACGGGCCAGACUCCUACGGGAGGCAGCAGUAAGGAAUAUUGCGCAAUGGGCGAAAGCCUGACGCAGCGACGCCGCGUGGGGGAU